UCCCUUGUAGCUCAGUUGGUAAAGAAUCUGCCUACAAUGCAGGAGACCCGGGUUUGAUUCCUGGGUUGGGAA
rnacentral:tRNA from 1 species